CUGCCCCACCCUCCACAGUAUGGUUAAGUUGUCUCCUCUCUGCCCCAUCCUCCACAGUAUAUGUAAGUUGUCUCCUCUCUGCCCCACCCUCCACAGUAUAGGUAAGUUGUCUCCCCUCUGCCCCACCCUCCACAGUAUAGGUAAGUUGUCUCCCCUCUGCCCCACCCUCCACAGUAUAGGUAAGUUGUCUCCUCUGCCCCACCCUCCACAGUAUAGGUAAGUUGUCUCCUCUCUGCCCCACCCUCCACAGUAUAGGUAAGUUGUCUCCCCUCUGCCCCACCCUCCACAGUAUGUGUAAGUUGUCUCCUCUCUGCCCCACCCUCCACAGUAUAGGUAAGUUGUCUCCCCUCUGCCCCACCCUCCACAGUAUAGGUAAGUUGUCUCCUCUCUGCCCCACCCUCCACAGUAUAGGUGAGUUGUCUCCCUCUGCCCCACCCUCCACAGUAUAGGUAAGUUGUCUCCCCUCUGCCCCACCCUCCACAGUAUCUGUAAGUUGUCUCCUCUCUGCCCCACCCUCCACAGUAUA